UACAGAGGUCUCAAGCGUUGUUCGGAUUCAUUGGGCGUAAAGGGUGUCGUAGGCGGCGCGGUAAGUCGGGUGUGAAAUCUCGGAGCUUAACUCCGAAACUGCAUUCGAUACUGCCGUGCUUGAGGACUGGAGAGGAGACUGGAAUUUACGGUGUAGCGGUGAAAUGCGUAGAUAUCGUAAGGAAGACCAGUGGCGAAGGCGGGUCUCUGGACAGUUCCUGACGGUUGAGGCACGGAAGGUCAGGGGAGCAAACGGG
rnacentral:rRNA from 1 species